GCCGGCGUGUCGGAACGGAAGACGAGAUGGUCUCAAACACCAUUGGGCGCAAGCCCGUGUGGGUUCGAGUCCCACCGCCGGCA
rnacentral:tRNA from 1 species